CGUGAUUGUGGGAUCUGAUGGUGGCAAUUUGGUAAAACCGUAAAAGCGAGGAUUUGAUCUCUUCUCAAAUUUUCAAGUCUUCUUCGUCUCGGCUUCCGUCUGAAAGUUCUCGGAAAUGUUUCAAUAUGGGCGAUUUCGAGAUGUCGACGGCCUUGAAGAAUGCCUAUGCGUAUGAGGCCGCAAUACGGCGAAAGAAGCGGUGGCAUUGAUCUUGGUUUUGGAGAAGAAAGCCUCAGAUUGGAGAACCAGAUGCUGUAGUGAUAAUCGAAGAUAUUGGGUAAGAGUUGCGAGAAGUUACAAGUAAAUUGGAGAAAGUGAUGAACAGGAAACACAAACUGUGAAUGAGAAUAAAUUGGUAGGAAAUAUUACUACCAAGAUAGACAUAUCAUUACGGCCUCAGAAUUCUAUUGGUCGUAGUGAGUCCACGAUUAUCUUAAAUGGUUCUCCUCUGGAACAAGCGACAUCUCAUGACUUGUGGAAUGGACAUGUCAGGCUAAUGAUUCCUCUCAUGAAAUACUUAGCAGAACUGCAGAAGAGAUGAGAAAACCUAAGCGACACGAGCAAACGUGUGUGUUGAAUAUGAACGUGAUGCAGAAAGAUGAUACUGAUACUUGAGUGAGACUUUUCAGAAAAAGAAAAAGAGUACUCAGACAUGGGAUUAAAUAUUAUCCUUUAAACAGGCAACGUUUAAACAUUUACUUUCUCAAGCACACAAUUUGUAGAAAGCACAAGGACUUGUUGAAUAAUUCAGAUGGUAAUUCUUCUUGAAAUUGGAGCAUUUAAAAAGGAAGAUGGGGACGGUAGAGACUUAGAACUGAAGCUUCAUGGUUGAAAUAUCUUAAGACAGUCGGCAACCACCAUGCUUAGCACGUCAGGCAAUAGUCAUUUUAUUGUCAACAGGAGCGAGUUAAAGAAAAAGAAGCUUAGCGUUCAUGUAGGAAAGUAAGGGAAACACAAAGCCAGUUACUAGUCCCCCCNCCCCCCCCCCCCCCCCCCUAAUGCAUAAAGUGUUGAGGAAGGUUCCUUUCCCUUCUUUUGACUUCUCUUGAGCUUCUGUGUGGAACCAACUUCAAAGCAAAGACAAAGAUUAUAUGGAGGAACACCGAUAAAGCAAUUUCUUGGAGUUUAUGGCUUGAAAGAAUCGAAUUUCCAUGAGAGGAAUGGACUCUAAUUGGCAAAAUUUGAAUGCCCCUCCUAGACUUCCAUUCCCUUUCCAGUUUUGCUUGCGAUUUACGCUUAUUUGGAUGCCUUUCUGCUUACUCCUUCUAGGGGGAUAGAUUGAUUCCUCUUUUUUUUUUAAUCUAAACUUAUCUUUAUAUUUUUCAUCUCAGCCUCUUUGUAGACUUUUCUUCAACGUCUCUCAGCUUUUCCCCCCUUUGAGUUAAGCUUUCGGGAAUUUUUAUGUAGUUCCAAAUUCGUCACCUUUAUGUAAGGAGGAAGAAAAGAGUGCCAGAUCACUGGUUCGUCUCAAAAAAGAAUAUGAAAGAAGAAGCUUAAGUAGGUAAUAAUUUUUUAGUCGAGUGGUCGAACUUUUCAGCCUAAAGUGAGCAUCUUAUCCUGUCUGGUAGCGAAGUUAGUGGCAGGCCACAAGGCCUUCAAAGUAUCGUCCGUAGAGCAUGCCUCUGCAUUGCCUUUUUCUUUCUUUUUCUUUUUUUAAUCUUAUUAUUUCAUGGAUAAUUGCUGCUUUUUCAUAGAAAUGCUAGUUUUUGCCUUCAAUUGUGUUAACAAAAUCAUAUCUUGUUCUUUGUAACAUUUCAUUUUUAACCCUGACUGGCAAUUAGAUGAGUUUAGGGGGUUUCUUAUACCGACGACUGUUCAUAUUAGUUAAAUACGUAUAAUACACUAAAUAAGUUUUUAGGCCUUAUAGUUAAACACAAAGAAACAAGAUCGAAAAAUUCUGAUCAUAUAACUGAACUAUAAGAUCUUAAUUUGAAGCAUAAGUUUCUUGAUUUUUGGAAGUAGGCUUCUUUAGCAUAAGUAAUAUAGCGUUUGUUAGUUAAUAAACACACUAUGAACCAGAGGGGAGGGGUGAGGCCUUAUCCCCAUGUAUCUUCCUUCCUUCUGUAUAGUCUUCUUUUUUAAGAAAUACAUUAUAUUGCUGAAGUGUUCACAAAGCAUUGCUUAACAUGAUGAAUAAGUAUUGUAUGAAUUUGAAGGUAUUACACUUAAUGGUCCUUUCAUAUUAGUCCAUAUCUUAU